AGUUAGUCUUAUGAUACGAAGUAGAGGAGACGAUAGUCGACGGGCGAGAAACAGCAAAAUUUUAACAAGAGGAAAAGCAUCGAAGCCACCGCAUUUCAUGUUGAGUCAUCGGUAAAGAAGACCCCAAAGUCGGUGAAGAAAGAAACCAAACCAUACUCUGAGUACAGUAGAUCUGGCAAGAAGUUGAACAAGGACUGUGCUACAUCUCACAAAAAAU
rnacentral:lncRNA from 1 species